rnacentral:rRNA from 1 species
UACGGAGGAUGCGAGCGUUAUCCGGAUUCAUUGGGUUUAAAGGGUGCGUAGGCGGAAUAGUCAGUCAGUGGUGAAAUCCUACAGCUUAACUGUAGAACUGCCAUUGAUACUGCUAUUCUUGAGUACAGUUGAGGUAGGCGGAAUGUGUAGUGUAGCGGUGAGAUGCUUAGAUAUUACACAGAACACCGAUUGCGAAGGCAGCUUACUAAACUGUCACUGACGCUGAGGCACGAAAGCGUGGGGAGCGAACAGG